rnacentral:rRNA from 1 species
CCCUUAGAUGUUCUGGGCCGCACGCGCGUUACACUGAUGCAUUCAACGAGUUCUUCCUUGGCCGAGAGGCCUGGGCAAUCUUUUGAACGUGCAUCGUGAUAGGGAUAGAUUAUUGCAAUUAUUAAUCUUGAACGAGGAAUUCCUAGUAAACGCAGUUCAUCAAACUGCAUUGAUUACGUCCCUGCCCUUUGUACACACCGCCCGUCGCACCUACCGAUUGAAUGGUCCGGUGAAGCCUCCGGAUUGGCGCGCACCUCGGUGCCGCCGAGAAGUUGGCUAAACCUUACCAUUUAGAGGAAGGUGAAGUCGUAACA